rnacentral:rRNA from 1 species
CACGUAGGGUGCGAGCGUUGUCCGGAAUUAUUGGGCGUAAAGAGCUCGUAGGCGGUGUGUCGCGUCGGCCGUGAAAACCUGCAGCUUAACUGUGGGCUUGCGGUCGAUACGGGCAUCACUGGAGUUCGGCAGGGGAGACUGGAAUUCCUGGUGUAGCGGUGAAAUGCGUAGAUAUCGAGAGGAACACCUGCGGCGAAGGCGGGUAGCUGGGCCGACACUGACGCUGAGGCGCGAAAGCCAGGGGAGCGAACGGG